ACAUCGCUUCAGGGCGGGGCGUAAUUCCCCACCGGCGGUAAGCUCAACACGAGCAAGCCCGCGAGCAAUUGGACCAUUUAAUGGCGUCAAUCGCAGAUCUGGUGUAAAUCCAGAGCCGACGGUAUAGUCCGGAUGAAAGAAGACGACG
rnacentral:ncRNA from 1 species